rnacentral:rRNA from 1 species
UGGGGAAUUUUGGACAAUGGGCGAAAGCCUGAUCCAGCAAUGCCGCGUGUGUGAAGAAGGCCUUCGGGUUGUAAAGCACUUUUGUCCGGAAAGAAAUCCUUGGCUCUAAUACAGUCGGGGGAUGACGGUACCGGAAGAAUAAGCACCGGCUAACUACGUGCCAGCAGCCGCGGUAAUACGUAGGGUGCAAGCGUUAAUCGGAAUUACUGGGCGUAAAGCGUGCGCAGGCGGUUUGCUAAGACCGAUGUGAAAUCCCCGGGCUCAACCUGGGAACUGCAUUGGUGACUGGCAGGCUAGAGUAUGGCAGAGGGGGGUAGAAUUCCACGUGUAGCAGUGAAAUGCGUAGAGAUGUGGAGGAAUACCGAUGGCGAAGGCAGCCCCCUGGGCCAAUACUGACGCUCAUGCACGAAAGCGUGGGGGAGCAAACAGGAUUAGAUACCCUGGUAGUCCACGCCCUAAACGAUGUCAACUAGUUGUUGGGGAUUCAUUUCCUUAGUAACGUAGCUAACGCGUGAAGUUGACCGCUUGGGGAGUACGGUCGCAAGAUUAAAACUCAAAUGAAUUGACGGGGUCAUAGCUGUUUCCU